AGAUUGAACGCUGGCGGCAUGCCUAACACAUGCAAGUCGAGCGGCAGCGCGGGGGCGACCCUGGCGGCGAGCGGCGGACGGGUGAGUAAGGCAUCGGAAUCUGCCCUGAUGUGGGGGAUAACGUAGGGAAACUUACGCUAAUACCGCAUAUGCCCUACGGGGUAAAGCGGGGGAUCGUAAGACCUCGCGCUGGUGGAUGAGCCUACGUCCGAUUAGUUAGUUGGUGGGGUAAAGGCCUACCAAGGCUACGAUCGGUAGCUGGUCUGAGAGGAUGAUCAGCCACACUGGGACUGAGACACGGCCCAGACUCCUACGGGAGGCAGC
rnacentral:rRNA from 1 species